GGCUGGGGGAGAACUGCAUGGCUGCCAGAGGCUGCCUGGCACAGUCAUCAUCUGAGCAGCAGAAUUUUCCUGUCUGCUGGUUCCACUUUCAGACAGACUGCACAGACACAGCCCCCCAUCUGCUUCUAGUUGCUUGUAGUACUACUGGAGAAAUUUGCACAUUUUAAAACAAGCUUGUGACUUUUUUUUCUAUUGCAGUUGCACCAGAACCCAUUUGCCCUACUACCACUGUCCCCACCACUGCCCACACCCCUACAGAUGAUUUCAGAGCUGCAGAAGUCAGAUGUGGGAUUAAUAACCAUGAAAUACUGUACAUGUCACUGGCCUUCAUCUCUGGCAUCUUCCUGACUGUCCUGGUUUUUGCUAUCGUCUUCCUCUUCAGGAAAAGCUCUAAAAGAUCCCACCAAAAUUUACAAGAGGAAACUUUCUCCCAGAUGGCAGCUGAGGAAUCUGUUAGGAACACCCAGAAUGAAGUGACCUACAGCACUCUGGUCUUCCAGCGGGGCAGGACACCACUGCCUGUGUGACGAGGAAGCUCCAAACGAAAUAAAAACGAUCCCACUUUCUGGACAUCAAAAGCCACGAGGAUGUCACACCGAGGGAAUGCCCUGGGAAUGCCCCCAUGCCCUCUGUAACACAGCUCUUUUUGUAGUUAUGACAGGAAAUUGUCUCCUGUUCAAACUGGCUGCCAACUGCUGUGGACAAAUAGAGAGUUUCUGUACAGGAUUUCCUCAUCUGUAGAAAUCUCCGUGCCUUGUAAAGUUUCCGUUUGUGAGAACUACCAGAGAGAAGUGAGAAAUGAAAAUGUUUCUCUGCAUCUAUCCAUAUCUGUGCCCUCGUGUUUCCCUUUUCUGUCACCAACUCCAACAUUUUCUGUAUUUUUGUUUGAUUGCCAAGUGUUCUGCUUAGUUAUUUUCUGUUAUUGAAAUGAUGAUCAUGAAACGUUUGGAUGCAAAUCUCUGCUUCCUGGUUGGCUCGCAUAAAAGAAAUACACAGUCACAGUGUGACAACCAAAAUCCCUGGGAAUGUUCAUUCAGGUGC
rnacentral:lncRNA from 1 species